GCUUACCAUGCAGUCGAACGAUGAAGGAGAGCUUGCUCUCUGGAUUAGUGGCGAACGGGUGAGUAACACGUGAGCAACCUGCCCCUGACUCUGGGAUAAGCGCUGGAAACGGCGUCUAAUACUGGAUAUGAGCUCCUGCCGCAUGGUGGGGGUUGGAAAGAUUUUUUGGUUGGGGAUGGGCUCGCGGCCUAUCAGCUUGUUGGUGAGGUAAUGGCUCACCAAGGCGUCGACGGGUAGCCGGCCUGAGAGGGUGACCGGCCACACUGGGACUGAGACACGGCCCAGACUCCUACGGGAGGCAGCAGUGGGGAAUAUUGCACAAUGGGCGGAAGCCUGAUGCAGCAACGCCGCGUGAGGGAUGACGGCCUUCGGGUUGUAAACCUCUUUUAGCAGGGAAGAAGCGAGAGUGACGGUACCUGCAGAAAAAGCACCGGCUAACUACGUGCCAGCAGCCGCGGUAAUACGUAGGGUGCAAGCGUUAUCCGGAAUUAUUGGGCGUAAAGAGCUCGUAGGCGGUUUGUCGCGUCUGCUGUGAAAUCCCGAGGCUCAACCUCGGGUCUGCAGUGGGUACGGGCAGACUAGAGUGCGGUAGGGGGAGAUUGGAAUUCCUGGUGUAGCGGUGGAAUGCGCAGAUAUCAGGAGGAACACCGAUGGCGAAGGCAGAUCUCUGGGCCGUAACUGACGCUGAGGAGCGAAAGGGUGGGGAGCAAACAGGCUUAGAUACCCUGGUAGUCCACCCCGUAAACGUUGGGAACUAGUUGUGGGGUCCAUUCCACGGAUUCCGUGACGAAGCUAACGCAUAGUCCC
rnacentral:rRNA from 1 species